rfam:Capsicum annuum cultivar Zunla-1 chromosome 8, whole genome shotgun sequence
UGAUGAUGGUGAGGGAAAUUUUUGAGCAUGCCCUUAAAUCUCUCCCAAGCUUAGCAGAGACUCUUUCCUUCUUUUUGUUUGAAACUUAGGAUCUCGCUCCUUAAGCA